GCCUUUGUGGUGUAAUGGUGAGCACGCUCGGCGCGUAUUCGAGAGGUCCGAGGUUCGAGUUCCGGCGGGGGCA
rnacentral:tRNA from 1 species